rnacentral:rRNA from 1 species
UUGACCUGAACUCAGUCGAGAGCACCCGCUGAACUUAAGCAUAUCAGUAAGCGAGAAGACAUGAAAG